rnacentral:lncRNA from 1 species
CUGAGAUUGCAGAGUCGUCAAAAAUAUCGGCCCAAUGCAAGGCAAGGUAGGGUGUGCAAGUCGCAGCAUCCAUCUUACAGUUAGAGGAGCGAGCGCUAGUUUCCACCUAAGAGUAAAAGUGACUAUUCCACUAGUUCAUACAAUUUCUGGAGUUGAAUUUGCAUUCGGUAGCCAAACAGGUAUAUAGUUCCGUAUUUUCUUAAAAUUGGUGAAGUGGAGUUGUUUUUUUUCAGAAAGUGGAGCUAUUUUUUAGCGAAGCAGUCCCAAACAGGUCCUAAACUAUGCUCGCUUGGUCCACAAAGCAACUGCCCUUUGAAUCGUUUAUACUUGCCCGUUGACUUAUCGAGCCACAAUGACUUGUUUCAAUCAAUGGGAGAAUAUGAACCCCAACUAGUAGGGGAUUAACUUAAGGUGAUCUAAUAAACUCUUAAUCGAGACAGAUCAAGCAUAAUUUAGUGUGCCAUGUUUGUGUUGUACCUAUGAUUUUUUUCCUUUUUCAUGGUAAAAAGAAAUAAUGACAACGAAUGCAGUUCAGUUGAACCGAUUCGUGAUACAAAGUUACACAAGAUGAUUCCCUUUUUUUCCACAUUACUAUUCACCUCAAGGCUCAAGUUUUAUUUAUGUGAACAUGAUCCAUAGCCUAAUGAUUAUCAAAAGUCCAAAGACAACCGAAUGAUACGGCAGGCAACCCCUGCCGCCACCCCUUCUCCCUUACACAUUCCUUUUGAUCUUUUACGUCCCACUUGACAGUAUUGUUAUUGCAGAGGGCAGAGCACAACUCAUGCAUUACUGAACGGCAUACACGUCAGGACGUCACGGAUACCAAGUAAGCAAGAACAAAGAUUUGAGAAACAGAAGUGCGAGACAAAACGCAAGAACAAAGAUUUGAGAAACAGAGGUGCGAGGGAAAGUGAGAAACGACUUGACAAGGACUUGGGUCUUCGCUGAGCAGAGCACAAGGUCGGUCAGUCAACCAAUUGCACUCGCACUUCGGGCUGCUAGCUGUAAAUAUCUUUAUAGCCUACCUCUCAGCCCACUCAUAUAUUAGUGAGCUCUUUAAUAUUAAUACAAGAUUCACUUAUCUCUUUCACAAAGUUUCUUGAUUCUUAUGUCUAAGCGGACCAUAAGUUUACUGCCUACUUCUCAUUUCUCUCCUCUCCUCUUUCCUCCACCUCAAUAUUCAGCCUACUUACAGGCUGCUAUUAUACUUACACUUAGCUCUU